AGAGUUUGAUCAUGGCUCAGGACGAACGCUGGCGGCGUUAACACAUGCAAGUCGAACGGUAAGGCCCUUCGGGGUACACGAGUGGCGAACGGGUGAGUAACACGUGGGUGAUCUGCCCUGCACUUUGGGAUAAGCCUGGGAAACUGGGUCUAAUACCGAAUAUGACUCCGGGAUGCAUGUCUUGGGGUGGAAAGCUUUUGCGGUGUGGGAUGGGCCCGCGGCCUAUCAGCUUGUUGGUGGGGUGAUGGCCUACCAAGGCGACGACGGGUAGCCGGCCUGAGAGGGUGUCCGGCCACACUGGGACUGAGAUACGGCCCAGACUCCUACGGGAGGCAGCAGUGGGGAAUAUUGCACAAUGGGCGCAAGCCUGAUGCAGCGACGCCGCGUGAGGGAUGACGGCCUUCGGGUUGUAAACCUCUUUCAGCAGGGACGAAGCGCAAGUGACGGUACCUGUAGAAGAAGCACCGGCCAACUACGUGCCAGCAGCCGCGGUAAUACGUAGGGUGCGAGCGUUGUCCGGAAUUACUGGGCGUAAAGAGCUCGUAGGUGGUUUGUCGCGUUGUUCGUGAAAACUCACAGCUCAACUGUGGGCGUGCGGGCGAUACGGGCAGACUGGAGUACUGCAGGGGAGACUGGAAUUCCUGGUGUAGCGGUGGAAUGCGCAGAUAUCAGGAGGAACACCGGUGGCGAAGGCGGGUCUCUGGGCAGUAACUGACGCUGAGGAGCGAAAGCGUGGGGAGCGAACAGGAUUAGAUACCCUAGUAGUCC
rnacentral:rRNA from 1 species